rnacentral:rRNA from 1 species
UACGGAGGGUGCAAGCGUUAUCCGGAUUCACUGGGUUUAAAGGGUGCGUAGGAGGGCAGGUAAGUCAGUGGUGAAAUUCCCGGGCUUAACUUGGGAUCUGCAUCUGAUACUGCCUUGCUUGAGUACGGAAGAGGGGAGCGGAAUUCCCAGUGUAGAGGUGAAAUGCGCAGAUAUCGGGAGGAACACCAAUGGCGAAGGCAGCUCGCUGGGCAACAACUGACGCUGAGGAGCGAAAGCGUGGGGAGCGAACAGG